AUGAACAAAGAAUGUAAACAUGAUGAUAAUAAAAGUUUAAACACAAAAAGCAUUAAUACGGACCAUAAUCUUAGUACUAGUAACUGCAGUGACAGUAACGAAAACGAUGGAAAUAGUAGUAAUGGAAGUAGUAAUAGUAGCAAUAACAAUAAUAAUAACAGUAGUAGCAAUGGUAAUAGCAAUAGCAAUAACAAUAAUAAUAAUAGUAGUAAUAGCAGUAAUAAUAAUAGUAACAGUAGUAAUAGCAGUAAUAAUAAUAGUAACAGUAGUAAUAAUAAUAAUGAUGGAACUAAUAACAGUAAUAAAGGUAGUAACAACAAUAACAACAACAACAAUAACAACAACAAUAACAACAACAAUAACAACAACAAUAACAACAACAAUAACAACAACAAUAACAACAACAAUAACAACAACAAUAACAACAACAAUAACAACAACAAUAACAACAACAGUAACAGUAACAAUAUGAACAUGACAGGUGCUAGUAACAGUAGUAGUAAUACUGCCACAACUAUUGGAAGUGCGAAUAACAUAAACAGUGGUAUGCACAUGAAUGCAGCGUUAGGAACAAACAUGGGAUUAAACAAUAGUGGAAAUUUAUUUUGUUUAAAUAAUUCUAUACAUUUGAAUAGUACAGGAGGUAGUGGUGGUGGUAGUGGCAUUGUUGGUGGUAAUGACAUUGUAGGUGGUAGUGGAAUUGUUGGUGGUAGUGGCAUUGUUGGUGGUAGUGGCAUUGUUGGUGGUAGUGGCAUUGUUGGUGGUAGUGGUAUUGUUGGUGCAGGAGUCUCACACCAUCAUCCAAUGGGUAAUGUCAUGAAUACUAGUCCUAUGAAUGGUCCUAUGAACAAUCCUAUGAAUAACCCUAUGAAUAACUCUAUGCACAACCCUAUGAACAACCCGAUGAACAACCCUAUGAACAACCCUAUGAACAACAGCAUACAUAUGAAUGGUGGAAUACAUAUGAAUCAGGGUAUUCUUUUAAAUAAUAACAAUAACAAUUUGAAUCAUAUGCCUAGAAUGAAUCAGAUGGGUGGUAUGCAUAAUAUACCUAUGGUUGGAGGAAAACAUCAUAAAAGAAAUAAUUCUUAUAAUGAUAGAAAUAAUAAUAUGUUUAACCAUAACAAACAAUAUAACAAUUAUAGGGAUCAUAAAAAUAAUAACAACAGUAGUAACAGUAAUGUAGGUAUGAAAGGAAAUAAUACAUUAAACCUGAACUUUAAUAAUAGUGGCAGUGGAUUAUAUAACAACGUUAGUAAUUAUAAUUCUAAAUACCAUGACAGUAAUAGCGCUAACGUCAAUUCGAGUUCUAAAGUAGUACAUCACCACGAUGAAAAGAAGCAAAACCGAUACAACUCGUUGAAUAAUAAUAUGAACAAUACAGGUAACAAUGUCAAUAACAGCGGUAUGUGUAACGAUGUUGGUCAAUCUGGUGGAGUUGGAACUGGCAGUGGUAACAACAAUAAAGGAGCUAAUAAACAAGACGUGUAUAAUAGUUGUGAAGAUAGUAACAACAAUAUGAUACGUUCUGCUAGUAUAAAUUAUUACAACGGUAAGAAUGUAGGUGGUAGUGGUAAAAAUUACGACAACAAUGUAUCAAAUAUGCAUGGUAAUAAAGAAGAGUAUUAUGUUGUUAAUAAUAGUGAAAUAAAAGAUCAUACACAUGAUUUUAAUGGUAGUACACAUUUAAAUAGUAAGAGUAGUGGUGGUGAUGGUCACAGUUCAUUAAUAAAAGGGAAGGGUUAUGAUAUAAAUGGUGGAGCAAAUGGUACUACAACAACCACUACUAGUAGUAAUAGUACUAGUGUUUGUAUUGGUGGCGAGACUAGUGAUAACAGUAUCGGAGGAAAUAAUAUGAGUAGUAAUAAUAUGAGCGGUAAUAAUAUGAACAGUAACAAUAUGAAAAAUAACAAAAAAAAUAGUAAUAAUAAUAGUAAUAAUAAUAGUAAUAAUGCGAACAACACGAGUUAUAAUGCAUACCCUGUUGAUAUGAUGAUAGGUCAUGAUAAAAGACAGUCAGGAUAUGGCAAGAAUGAAAAAAACAAAGGUAAUAACAGUAGUACAGGUGUUAACAAUUUAAAUAGUAGUACUACUACUACUGCUACAAGUAAUAAUAAUAAUGCACAUAACAAAGAUGAUUAUAAAAAUAUUAGGAGUUAUAGAAAUAAGAAUAAUGUUGUUGAUAACAAAAUAGACGGAAUGUUAUUGAAUGGGAAUAAUAACAAACAAGAGUAUUCUAAGGAUAAACUAAGCGGUGGUGUAGGUGAUAUGCAUCAUCAUACAAGUCAGUCAAGUCAUACGAUUCACAACAACAGUAUAAGUAAUCAUAGUAAUAACAACAAAGGUGGCAAUAACAAUAUGAAUAACCAUGUAGGAAGUAGUGUAAGUAUUGAUCGUAAUAAGCAGCAACAAGGGAAUUGCGGAAACAAUAAAUAUCAGAACGACAAGCGUAUGAAUAAUAUUCGAAAUGUGGAUAUUAAGAAGGUAAAACAUGAAGAAGAGAACAAAAAGUAUAAAGAUAAGAACAGUAUGUACAACCAUAAUGUUGCUUCUGUUUCUGUCCCUGCUUCUACUGGCACAGGUACUACCACUACAGCUACUGCUGCCACAGGUGCUGGUACUACUAGCACAAACAGUAACAACGUCGUAAAUAACAUACACGGAACGAUACAAAAUAACAAUGAACAUGUUAAUAGAAUUACAACUGUAAACGAUAAUAACAAUGCUAAUAGUGGUAGUAAUAAUGGUUAUAAAAAUGGGUCUAUUAGUUAUUCUCACAACAACCACAAUACUAUAAAUAAUAAUAAGAAUAUGAACUAUAACAACAUGAAAAAAUUAAAAAAUUAUGAAAAAAAAAAUAUGGAUUUUGGUGCAUGGUCUAAAAUAUCGAAACCACCUGCAAAUAAAAAAAAAAAUGAAAAAAUAAAUAUUGGUUCUACUGCUGAUAAUAAUAUGGGAAGUGUUAUUACAAACAAUUCUUUUUCCAAUGCCGUUAGUUAUAACAAUAAAUAUAAUAACAAUGACAUGUAUCAUUCGAGUAAGAAUGCAGUAGGAGUUAAUAAUGUUAGUAAUAGUGAUUAUUCUAGUGGUGUGGAUACUAUGAGAAAUGCUUGCAAUGGUGUUAAUAAUAACGUCGGUUCGGAAAAUAAUGCAACGUCGUACCAUCGCAGUAGCGAGUCUGUUUAUCAUCAUAAAGUGAAUAACAUGAGUAUUCCUAAUACUAAUAGUCGUUUUGGUCAUUCAAGUAAGGAUACUAAGGGUUCUGUUAAUAUGAGUAAAGAUGGAAGUGUAAAGAAAAAGAUUGAAGAUGAUGUGAAUACGGGUUAUGGUAUGGUUGUAGGUUCAGGUGCAGUUGACAAUAGUAAUAAAAAAAAGAAAGACUCAAUGACGAUGGUGCAUAUUGGAGGUAAGGAGCAACAAGACAGUGGAGUAGGUGUAGGUGUCGGUGUAGGUGUCGGUGGAGGUGUCGGUGGAGGUGUUGGUGGAGUUGUCAGUGUUGGGCAAUAUAACAGAAAUGCAAAAAAAAUGGAUAAUAAAAAAAUAGAUAGUAGUAGUGGUAGUGUUGGUAAUGUUAAAAAUAAAAAAUUAUAUAACAAUUAUGGUUCAUCUGGUACUAGUACAAACACAAGUACUAACAGUGGUAACAACAAUAAUAAGAAGAAUGAUUUGAACAAUGAAAGAAGAUCAAUUGGUGAUGGGGUUGCUGUAUCUGGUGAUAUGAAUACUAUGGCCAGCAAUAAUAACAAUAAUGUUAGCAAAAAUAAUUUACCUGCUCAUAGACAAAGGGAAAAAUUAAAAAUUCAAAAUGUUGAAAUGAAACGAAUAGAAGAAAGGGUAUAUGGUAGUAACAAAACAAAUGUUCCUAACAUUAAUAGUCAUGGAGUUGAUAAACAAGAGUUGGAUUCUGAUAAAAAAAAGAUAUCAGUGACAGACAAUAAUACUAGUAACAGUGGUAAUAAGAAAGAGGAUCAGUUUUUGUUUUCAGAAAAAAAUAAAUACGUUAACAACACAAACAAGAACGAUAAUGAAUAUGCUGAUAGUACUAGUAGUGUGACGAGUAAAGAUGUGAGGAAAAGUAAAAAAUUGGAUAAUACAAAUGAUGGUGGAGAUAAUAAUAGUGUUAGUGGUACUAACAAUAAAAAGAACAGAGGAAUAAUGUCAGGUAGAGAUUCAUAUAAUAGCCAAGAUACAAAUAAUGUAACUGCAAGAAAAGGAAAUGUCACGAAUGACGAAAAUAAAAGCAGCUAUAAUAAAUAUAUGAAUAUAAACGACUAUAAUAGCAAUAAUGCAUCAUCAUCAUCAUCAGCGAAUGUGAAAAACAAUAAGAGUAGAUCUACUUCUACUUAUUCGAACUCUAAAAAUUCUGUAUGGGGAGGUAAAGUAUCGUAUGCUGAAGUUAUAAGACGUAAUCAAAAUAAAGAAUGGCAGUCAAAGAAUAGUACAGGUGGUGUUGACACGGCUAUGAAUAAUAAAAACGGUUUGAACGACAAGAAGCAGGUAGUCACUUCGAGUAAGAAUGAUAAGAUGAAUAAGAAAUGGUCGAGUAGUGUUGUUGGUAGUGCCGCUGGUAGUGCUAGUAUUAGCAGUAGUACAACUAGUAACAAGAAAGAAAGCAAAAACGAUUCAUCUGGGAAGGCGUUAGUUACGAACGGUGCUGAUGGUGUUGACGGUGUUGAUGAUAUUACUGUGUGUAAGAAUGUGGAAGAAAAGGAAGAGGAAAAGGAAAAGGUAAAGGAGAUGGAAAAGGAAAAAGUAAAGGAGAUGGAAAAGGAGAUGGAAAAGGAGAUGGAAAAGGAGAUGGAAAAUGAAGAGGGAGAGGACAAGGAUAAUGUUGAGCAGAAACAGACAAAACAAGAGGAAGAUGAUGUUGUCGCUAGUAGCUACUUAUCAGAUUCGGUAUGUAGUGAUUUAAAAAAGAUUAACAAUAUCAGUAACAAGAAAAAGGAAUAUAAUAAUAAACCAGUUAGUAGUAAAAGCAAUACGUCAGACAUUGUUAGUAGUAACAACGUUUCAGAUGAUAUGAAAAAAAAGAAGAAUGUUGAUGGUAAGGAAGAAAAUACAACUAAACAAAAGCAUGCGAAACCAGUUGAUGCGAAACCAGUUGAUGAGAAAUCAGUUGAUGCGAAACCAGUUGAUGCGAAACCAGUUGAUGCGAAACCANNNNNNNNNNGUUGAUGCGAAACCAGUUGAUGCGAAACCAGUUGAUGCGAAACCAGUAAAUGUGAAACUAGUAGAUGUGAAACCAGUAGAUGUGAAACCAGUAGAUGUGAAACCAGUAGAUGUUGGUAGGAACAAGAUGGAUGAGUCAUUUGAUGCUGUCAAAGAAAAGGAUGAGGAUAACAUUAAAGACGAUAAAGAUAACAAUAGCACUAAUGAUUAUAGUAAUAAAAAGGAAUUAACUACAGAUACGACCA
rnacentral:lncRNA from 1 species